GACGAACGCUGGCGGCGUGCUUAACACAUGCAAGUCGAACGGAAAGGCCCUGCUUUUGUGGGGUGCUCGAGUGGCGAACGGGUGAGUAACACGUGAGUAACCUGCCCUUGACUUUGGGAUAACUUCUGGAAACUGGGGCUAAUACCGGAUAGGAGCUCCUGCUGCAUGGUGGGGGUUGGAAAGUUUCGGCGGUUGGGGAUGGACUCGCGGCUUAUCAGCUUGUUGGUGGGGUAGUGGCUUACCAAGGCUUUGACGGGUAGCCGGCCUGAGAGGGUGACCGGCCACAUUGGGACUGAGAUACGGCCCAGACUCCUACGGGAGGCAGCAGUGGGGAAUAUUGCACAAUGGGCGGAAGCCUGAUGCAGCAACGCCGCGUGCGGGGUGACGGCCUUCGGGUUGUAAACCGCUUUCGCCUGUGACGAAGCGUGAGUGACGGUAAUGGGUAAAGAAGCACCGGCUAACUACGUGCCAGCAGCCGCGGUGAUACGUAGGGUGCGAGCGUUGUCCGGAUUUAUUGGGCGUAAAGGGCUCGUAGGUGGUUGAUCGCGUCGGAAGUGUAAUCUUGGGGCUUAACCCUGAGCGUGCUUUCGAUACGGGUUGACUUGAGGAAGGUAGGGGAGAAUGGAAUUCCUGGUGGAGCGGUGGAAUGCGCAGAUAUCAGGAGUAACACCAGUGGCGAAGGCGGUUCUCUGGGCCUUUCCUGACGCUGAGGAGCGAAAGCGUGGGGAGCGAACAGGCUUAGAUACCCUGGUAGUCCACGCUGUAAACGGUGGGUACUAGGUGUGGGGUCCAUUCCACGGGUUCCGUGCCGUAGCUAACGCUUUAAGUACCCCGCCUGGGGAGUACGGCCGCAAGGCUAAAACUCAAAGGAAUUGACGGGGCCCCGCACAAGCGGCGGAGCAUGCGGAUUAAUUCGAUGCAACGCGUAGAACCUUACCUGGGUUUGACAUGGAUCGGGAGUGCUCAGAGAUGGGUGUGCCUCUUUUGGGGUCGGUUCACAGGUGGUGCAUGGCUGUCGUCAGCUCGUGUCGUGAGAUGUUGGGUUAAGUCCCGCAACGAGCGCAACCCUUGUUCACUGUUGCCAGCACGUUAUGGUGGGGACUCAGUGGAGACCGCCGGGGUCAACUCGGAGGAAGGUGGGGAUGACGUCAAGUCAUCAUGCCCCUUAUGUCCAGGGCUUCACGCAUGCUACAAUGGCUGGUACAGAGAGUGGCGAGCCUGUGAGGGUGAGCGAAUCUCGGAAAGCCGGUCUCAGUUCGGAUUGGGGUCUGCAACUCGACCUCAUGAAGUCGGAGUCGCUAGUAAUCGCAGAUCAGCAACGCUGCGGUGAAUACGUUCCCGGG
rnacentral:rRNA from 1 species